rfam:Triticum aestivum genome assembly, contig: Triticum_aestivum_CS42_TGACv1_scaffold_424098_5BS
GAUAUACUCCCUCCAUUCCAAAUUACUUGACUUUCAUUUGUCUAAAUACAAAUGUAUAUAUACUUGUUUAGUGUUUAAAUACAUCUGUAUCUACACAAAUGGAGGUCAACUAAUUUGAAACGGAGGGAGUAUAUG